rnacentral:rRNA from 1 species
UCGGAUUGCAGGCUGCAACCCGCCUGCAUGAAGUUGGAAUCGCUAGUAAUCGCGGAUCAGCAUGCCGCGGUGAAUACGUUCCCGGGCCUUGUACACACCGCCCGUCACACCAUGAGAGUCGGUAACACCCGAAGCCUGUAGUCUAACCGCAAGGAGGACGCAGUCGAAGGUGGGAUUGAUGACUGGGGUGAAGUCGUAACAAGGUAAC